rnacentral:rRNA from 1 species
AGUCUGAUGGAGCACGCCGCGUGAACGAUGAAGGCUUUCGGGUCGUAAAGUUCUGUUGUAAGGGAAGAACAAGUGCCGCAGGCAAUGGCGGCACCUUGACGGUACCUUGCGAGAAAGCCACGGCUAACUACGUGCCAGCAGCCGCGGUAAUACGUAGGUGGCAAGCGUUGUCCGGAAUUAUUGGGCGUAAAGCGCGCGCAGGCGGCCUCUUAAGUCUGAUGUGAAAGCCCCCGGCUCAACCGGGGAGGGCCAUUGGAAACUGGGAGGCUUGAGUAUAGGAGAGAAGAGUGGAAUUCCACGUGUAGCGGUGAAAUGCGUAGAGAUGUGGAGGAACACCAGUGGCGAAGGCGACUCUUUGGCCUAUAACUGACGCUGAGGCGCGAAAGCGUGGGGAGCAAACAGGAUUAGAUACACC